UUUGAUCCUGAUGCAGAGAUGCGAU
rnacentral:piRNA from 1 species